AUCUGUACGGUCCUACAUAUUUUCCUGAGCUGAUGAUGCUUAGAUCUGCGACGAGGCUGAUGCUUGCUUUUCCAUUGAUUUAUUUUUUAUACCUUGCUCUGUCUCAUCAUUCUGGGCCAAUGAUGUUCGUGAAUUUUACAAUAAGGGUUUGGAAAAAAAUGGCCAAUUUAUUAGCAUGAGUGCUUCUUUUUCUGUUGCUUUUUCAAGCAGAUCUCCGAAGAAGAGUGCAACACCCUAUCCCGGUGGAUCGGACAAAGUUCUAAGCCUGGUCCUUUUGACUGGCCCAGAUAACAGAACCAACACAUCAGGAGAUGGCCCAAAAGGGCAGCAUGGCUUUUAAAGCAUGACCAAUUUAAAAAAAUCUUUUGGCCAACAUGUGCUGGGAAGAGGGAUGGGUCGGAUUAGGACUCAUCUUCCUCCUCUACUAGAAGCCGAGUUUGAGGAGGAUUUUGAUGCCUGGAGACCACCCAAAUUUGGAUUAUAAUCCUAUUUAAAUCCAUUCUGAGCCCCCUUCUACGCCGACUUCAACCCCCACCAUGGACCAUCACCGGAAGAAAUUCAUUUUCCUCUUCUUCGUCUUUUGAGAGUUUCCACAGCAUUCACUGGAAUCGCAUCCAAUCGUCACUGGAAAUAAGGUAAAAUUUCUUCUCACUAUCUUCUCCCUCAGCCACCAAAAUUUAGUUUCCAACUGACUAUCAUCAGAAUUUCUUUGAAAAAAUCCGGGCUUAGUUUUCUAUUAUUUUCCGUCCAUUUUCUCUAAUUUUUCGACACUGAUUGUCGCCGCCGAGUGCUAGCUGAGGUGCCUUCCACUGCAC
rnacentral:lncRNA from 1 species